GAACUGAAGAGUUUGAUCCUGGCUCAGAUUGAACGCUGGCGGCAUGCUUUAGGAUUAGAUGAUAAAUUGAGUAAGAGCUCAACUAGGCGCGACGAUCCGCUAGCUGGUCUGGGAAGGGCGACCAGCCACCCAGGACUGAGACGCAGUUCCGAACUCCUGCAGGAGGCAGAGGUGGGAAUUUUGGACAAUACAGGCGCAAGCCUGAUCCCAACCAUACCGCGUGAGUGGAAGGCCUUCCGGGUUGUAAAGCUCUUUCAGCCGGAAAGAAAACGCGCGGGAUAAUACCCUGUGUGGUCGACGGUACCGGAAGAAGAAGCACCGGCUAACUUCACGUUGCCAACCGCGCGCGGUAAUACGUAGGAGUGCGCGACGUUAAUCGAGUUACUGGGCGUAAAGCGUGCGCGGAACGGUUUUGAAAGACAGAUGUGAAAUCCCCGAGGAUAACCUGGGAACUGCAUUUGUAACUACCAAGGCUAGAAGUGCGGCAGAGGGGGAAGAAUUCCACUGUGCCAACCAGUGAAAUGCGUAGAUAUGUGGAGGAAUACCGAUG
rnacentral:rRNA from 1 species